UGUCUAAUGAAUCAAGCAAGUGAUCCACCAUCUGAAAGGAAUAUGACACAAACUACUCAGAAGAAUGUGAUGAAUUGUUACAGGUGGAGUUCCAUUCUCACUGAAGCCCCAAUUUUUAAAAGUAGAGACUGUGACAGCUAUAGAGGUACAAAGGAAGUUGCUGAAGGAGGAAAACCGCAUCUCAGGAAGGGGAAUUUGAGGAGUUUGUGAGGGAAGAAAAUUUUGUGUCAUGUCUCUGGGAAUGGAGCAGUAUGAAGAAAAAGUUACUGAGUAGGACAACACAAUGGCUUGAUCCUGAGAUGAGAGUGGAGCCCAAAGUAAUAAAUAAUUGCAUGCUG